rnacentral:rRNA from 1 species
UGCCAGCAGCCGCGGUAAUACGGAGGGUGCAAGCGUUGUUCGGAAUUAUUGGGCGUAAAGCGCGUGUAGGCGGUUCGUUAAGUCUGAUGUGAAAGCCCGGGGCUCAACCCCGGAAGUGCAUUGGAACCUGGCGAACUUGAGUACGGGAGAGGAAAGUGGAAUUCCGAGUGUAGGGGUGACAGCCGUAGAUAUUCGGAGGAACACCAGUGGCGAAGGCGGCUUUCUGUACCGAUACUGACGCUGAGACGCGAACGCUUUGUGAGCAAACAGGCUUAGGUC